rnacentral:rRNA from 1 species
GACCUCAAAUCAGGUAGGAACACCCGCUGAACUUAAGCAUAUCAAUAAGCGGAGGAAAAGAAAAUAACAAUGAUUCCCCUAGUAACUGCGAGUGAAGAGGGACAAGCUCAAAUUUUAAAUCUAUCGGGUUUUACCUGAUCGAGUUGUAAUUUGAAGAAGCGUUUUCUGCGUAUUUGGUCAGCCUAAGUCCUAUUGAAUGAGGCAUCAUGGAGGGUGAUAAUCCCGUCCGGUUGAUCAUUGCGUUUUACGAUACGCUUUCUAAGAGUCAAGUUGUUUGGGAUUGCAGCUUAAAAUGGGAGGUAAAUUUCUCCUAAGGCUAAAUAACGGCGAGAGACCGAUAGCGAACAAGUACCGUGAGGGAAAGAUGAAAAGAACUUUGAAAAGAGAGUUAAACAGUACGUGAAAUUGUUGAAAGGGAAACGAUUGAAGCCAGUCGUACCUUCGGGUAAUCAGCCUUUCGGGUGCGAUUCUGUGGAGUGUGAGGAGCUUAAACACCUUCAUGUUUUGCAUAUUCGUACUCUUGGGUGUACUUGCCCGUGUGGUUGGUUAACAUCAAUUUUGGUGGUCAUAAAAUGACUGGGGGAAUGUAGCUUCGAUCUUGUAUUGAAGUGUUAUAGCCUUCGGUAGAUGUGAUGAUCGAGAUUGAGGAUUGCAACGGAUACCCUUUGGGGCUACCUGUCUGAUCUCUGAUCGUUGCUUUGGUGCCGAAAGCUUGCUUACGGUUAUCAAAGUCGAUGGUCAAUAGGUUAGAACGGGUUAAAUUCGUUAAGGAUGUUGACGUAAUGGCUUUAAACGACCCGUCUUGAAACACGGACCAAGGAGUCUAACAUAUAUGCGAGUGUUAGGGUGAUUAAACCCUUACGCGUAAUGAAAGUAAUUUUGGUGGGAACACUUUUGUGCACCAUCGACCGAUCAGGAUAUUUUUUGAUAGAUUUGAGUAAGAGCAUAUCUGCUAGGACCCGAAAGAUGGUGAACUAUGCCUGAAUAGGGUGAAGCCAGAGGAAACUCUG